rnacentral:lncRNA from 1 species
CGGAUUGGGACCCGCAGGCUAUAGUGAGCAACCUAACUUUCCUUGAGCAGAAGAUCAAGCAGGUAAAAGAUGUUGUGCAGGCCAUGAGUAACCGAGAGAACCAUGUCGCUGGCGGUUCCUGUGAGCUAGCAGCAAAGCAGCAGCUCAUAACUGCUGAUCUCACUAGCAUUAUAAUCCAGCUUAUCACAACUGCUGGUUCGCUGCUCCCUUCAAUGAAGAACCCACUUAGCAGCAAUCUAGCAGUAAGGCAGCUCGGCAACACUCUUGGUUCUCCUAUGGGUUUUGGCAUGAAUACUAAUCAGCGACCAAGUGUAGACAGCAAGACCAAUAUUCCUGACAGUGGAAAGGUCUCUGAUUACGAGGAACUGAUCAAUAGCCUUAAUACUACCCAAGAUGAAAGAGAUGAGAUGAUCAAAUGCCCAAAUCCUUGUGUUGGGGAAGGGUCUGAACCGACUCCGAUGGAAGACCAUGAUGUAAAGGAGAGUGAUGAUGGUGAGCAUGAGGGAGAGAAUCUCCCCCCUGGUUCUUAUGUAGUAUUACAAUUGGAAAAGGAGGAGAUUUUAGCACCACAUACUCAUUUCUGCUUGAUCUGUGGGAAGGGCUUCAAGAGAGAUGCUAACCUAAGGAUGCAUAUGAGGGGCCAUGGAGAUGAGUACAAGACUGCUGCAGCUCUUGCCAAACCCACGAAAGAUUCUGGUUCAGAGCAUGCACCAGUUACAAGGUACUCAUGCCCAUUUGUGGGUUGCAAGCGGAACAAAGAGCACAAGAAGUUCCAGCCUCUCAAGACAAUAUUGUGUGUGAAGAACCAUUACAAGCGAAGCCAUUGUGACAAGAGCUAUACCUGCAGCCGCUGCAACACCAAAAAGUUCUCUGUGAUCGCCGACUUGAAGACUCACGAGAAGCAUUGUGGUCGUGACAAGUGGCUCUGUUCUUGCGGAACAACCUUCUCAAGGAAGGACAAGCUUUUCGGGCAUGUUGCGCUUUUCCAGGGCCACACACCUGCGCUCCCCAUGGAUGAUGUCAAGAUAUCAGAAGCAUCAGAGCAACAGCAGGGCAGCGAGCCCAUGAACGAAAUUUCGAGGAGCGUGGGGUGCUUCCCUUGCAGCUCGUCUGAUGGCAUUUCAAACCUCGACAUGAAAAUGGCUGAUGAUGCGCGCGGUUAUUACUCACCGAUGAGCUUUGAUCCUUGCUUUGGCACGCUCGAUGACUUCACUCGCCCUGGAUUCGACAUCUCUGAGGACCCCUUCUCCUUUCUGCCUUCGGGAUGCAGUUAUGUACAGC